GCCCGGGGGCGGGGCGCAAGACUGGCCCCGCCUCCCCCCGGCGCGCGGGGCUAGGUGGCCUUGGUGCGCGCGCGGCCGAUACACGUACAAACCAGGGGCAGGGUGUGUGCGGCCUGUUUGACUCUGGGGCAGACGAAGGAAGUCUUUUAUCCUGGAAUCGCACAGACCUACAAACCCACUCUAAGUAGCUGUGAAGUACGCAAAAUAAAAUAUGCUAACACUUUUUCCAGGACAAAGCUGUGUAGUCCUGUUUCAUUUGAGUUAAUUACCAGAUGAGCUAUUAACAACUCUGUGUAAAGGGCUGUGCUACUCCUCUUUUGUUCCUGGUUUUGAGUCUGAUUAAUCAGAACAGCCUCAAAUGAGAUGUCUGUUUUAUACCCCAUUGUCCCCAAACCCUAUAUCCCCCUCCCCUGCUCUCUCUUCUAUCUGCUGACUAAGGUGUAUACCUGGAAAUGGGUUGUAGCCUCUAAUAUCCAUAUCAGUUCUCAGAGGAGCUAGUCAACCGUCAUUACUCAGGGAAUCCCCCAAAUUGGAUUUAAAAUAUUUGUUAGGGGAGCAUUAUAUGGCAUCCAGUUACAUAACCAGAGUGGAGAUGAGAGAGGAAGCACUGCAAUGAGAAGAAGCAGAUAAAAUUAAACUUUGAAUAUGAAGUAAUAUUUCAUGCAUUGUGGGCCAACUUGUUUGGUAGGCUUGCCACAAAUUAGCUCUGUAGCCUCCUCAAGUGACCAUGUAUUCCCCUUCCCCUGCCUGAUCUGCUGCUCUGCUUUCUCCUUCCUACCUUGUCUGCUGCCCUUCCUGUCCCCUCUCAGAUCUAUCCCAUGCCACACACAGAGGUUGCCCAUGCCACUUGUGGCACAUGUGCUGUAGGUUGGCCACCCCAAUUUAGUUAAUCCAGUUUUCUAUCGGCAGAUACGAUGGAGCUCUUUUGUUUAACCAUCCAUGUAUCAUGACCAGAUACUUGUCAAUACAAAUCCUCCUCUGGACAAAUAUUAAAUGGGCCUUUGUAUUUGACCUAAGGCUAAAAGGAAACUGAUAAUCUAGAUACAAUUUAGCACUGAAUUUCUGCAGGAUUGUGUCUGUGGACCUGUUCAGCGUUAAACACUUAAGCAGAUGAUCUGUAGGGGUGUGCAAAGCGGGCACUAUUAGAUUUGGAUUUGGGCCAAAUCCAGGACAGUGAUUCAGUUCAUUGAUUAGAUUCCACCAAAUCCAAAUCUGAAGAUUUGAUUUGGAGAAUCAGCGAUUCAGACAGACAUCUUUAAAUGUUUUUUCUACAUACCUCAAGGUUCCAGUGUGGCUUGUGAAUGCCUGGAUGUUGGGGCACAUGGAGAGUCCCACAGGAGUGGGGGGGGGGAGCCUCUAUGUGCUUAGUGGCGAACCCAGAAGUGGGCCAGAAAUACUUCUGAUCCACUUCUGAGUCCACCGGGUAGCGCACAGGGGGACCCUUGGCGCCCUCUGGCUCAGCGAUUGGCCACAGAAAGACCUUGGGUGCCCCCCCCAACCCAGGCACCAGUUGCUGAGCCAGGGAAGCGUGGGGAGCCCUGCUACCGCACACUCCCCAGUGGACCCAGAAGUGGACUGGAAGUGCUUCUGGUCCACUUCUGGGUCUGCUGCCAGGCGUGCUAAGGGACCCACCCCCCCGCGCUCCUGUGGGAUGCUCCAUGCACGUCUGUGGGAUGCUCCAUGCACCCCAGCAUCGCAGCAUUCAUGAGCCCCCUGCUACCUAGAGGUAUGUAGAGAAAACAUUUAACGCUGUGUCUAUGUCCGAAUCGCCAAAUCUUUCCAAAUCAAUUCAGAGGGUUCCAGUUCGAUUUGGAGAGAUUAAAGGGUCCUUUGAUUCGAUUCAGAUUUGGAGAUUCAGCCACCGAAUCAGGUUGAAUCUCCACUGAAUCGAAUCAGAGACCAAAACUUCACACAGUCCUAAUGAUCUGUUCAGACUAUCAGAAGCACCAUACAGUACAGUGGCAGAUUUAUUUUAAUCUGAAUUGCUUUUCCCCUUGAAUAACCACUUAAAAGAAAAUGAAAAUAUAUGCUAAUUAAGCACUAGGGGGCAAUGUUUCAUAUAGUUAUUGCUUGCUGUGGAUUAAUACUUGUAGUUAACCCUGAGUUUCCUGACACUGGCACACUUUAAUAUUGGUAUCGAACAAUUUAUUUCUCUGGCUGCUCUACUUCAUCCAAGAGCAAGAAGUAGCAGUUCUUUAUAAGACAUUUGUCUUCCAAAAAUGCUUUCAGUUCCUGACACAAAACUGAUGAUUGCUAGGGUAUUUAGGCUUUAGAAUUUUCGUAUAGCAAAACAUCUACCUUCUUUCUGCUGGUGAUGCUAAACUCCAAGGUUUUGUUUCUUGUUUGCAAAUUCCCAGGCUUAUUUAUUCCAACAGUCAAUGAUUUUUUUUUAAAACAACCUUUGUCUCUUUACUACAUAUAUACAAGCCAAGAUGAAUAGCUUUUCACUGUCUAGACUUACUGGACCAGACAUAGGGCCCACUCCUACAGUGCAUAGUACCCUCAGUUCUAAUUGGAAUCAAUGGGAGUUGAAGAUGCUUUCUGUGCCUCACCAAAUUGGUUCCUUAGGACUGAAGCCAGCAUACAUAAAUGGACAGAAUCUCACUCCCAAUGGGCAUUUAUACACAUGCUCGAGGAGUGGGGAAGGGGUGAUUUAAUUAGAGUGGCUCUAAGAGCCGCUCUAAUUAAAGCACCCAGAGCAUCUCAUGUAUUAGCAUCCCCACACUUAAAAAUGGUGGCAGGGUUGCUUUAAUUAAGCUUUUUCAAUGAGUUUUACUUAAAGUGCCCCCACUGCCAUUUUUCAGCACAGGAAUGCUUAUACAUGAGUCUGCUGGAGCACAGUAAUUACCAACCUCCAGCAGAUUUGAUUAAUCAAGCCUGCUCUGAUGCACUGUAAUUACAGUGCAUCAGAGCAGCCCCACUGCUUGUGCCCCAAUGCCUUUUCUCCUUUACUGGGGAUGAAUUAGAUCCUUAUCCUAGGAAAAAAAUAUUUUCAUUUUGGAAAUAUCCCUUUGUAGCAGAAAGCCCCCUUUUCCUCUUGCCUGCAGUUGCUCUCCCCUCCUUGGAUAUAUUUUUCCUCUUCUACCUUUUCUUCCUUCCUCUUUCUUGCACUUUAAGAUAAGGAAUUGUGUUUUAAAAUUUGUAUGUGUGCAUUUUAUAUCUCCCCUUGUAUUUUGGUAUGUUUAUCUAUUUGUGUGCCAUGGCAUUUGUAGCUUAUAUUUUAUACUCCUCACCUUUCAACUUUCAACUGUAAAUGUGUUUAGUAACAAUGUUAACAAGGGCAGGAGUCAAACUGCCGCUUCCCUGUAUCAGGCUGGCCCCUGAAAGAGCGAGUGAAUCAGUGAUUGAAUGUGUAACGCAGUAGCAGGCAGCAAUUAACACCUAAGGAAACUGCAGAUCAACGAAGGGAAGAACUCAAUAGAAGACAAUGUAGCAACCAGGACAUCUCUAAACGUCACUGAUCAAGGGCUAGAAGCCCUGGCCUGAGUUAAUCAACGCCGGGGACCAACUUUUGGGCUGAAUAUCUCCAGAUCGACCGCUCCCAGAGCCCUAUUCAAAAUUCAUCAAUGGACUCCCAAACCUGCACGUACAUGCGGAUGACCCCUGGGGCUGACAGAUGCCAUCCAGUAGCCACCGAGGGGGAAGUCCCAUGAGGAUCAACGACCCCUGGAUUGGGCAAACCUGAAAACUGGGGAGUCACCAAAGUCUGCCAAGGACAGAUAAAAAGCAGUGAAAAGUGAUCCUCAGUGGCGCCCUCUUGAUCUCCAACUCAACCAGCACCCGACCUGUCCAGCCAGAAGGACCAGCUGGCAACCCCCUUCUGGAGGAUAACACCACGCUGAAAAAAGCCUUGACUGGCCAUCAACAGCAGACUCCAGCGCUUGUAGGAUAGGUAUACCUGACUCUUGUAGCUUGCUACUGUGUGUGUGCAUGUGUGUGUGUGUUUGUGUGUGUGUGUGUGUGUGGGGACCAGCCCCAAGGUUUAUGAUUUAACUUCAUUACAGUGCUUCAAUCCGCCUAAUAAACCAGAAUUUUAAGGAUCCUGAAUUGGA